rnacentral:rRNA from 1 species
GACGUAGGAGGCGAGCGUUGUCCGGAGUCACUGGGCGUAAAGGGCGCGCAGGCGGUUGCGUUGGCCAUCACGUGAAAGCCCCCGGCUCAACCGGGUGGUGGCGGGUGGGACCGCGCGACUGGAGGGUGGCAGGGGCCAGCGGAAUUCCCGGUGUAGUGGUGAAAUGCGUAGAUACCGGAGGAACACCCGCAGCGAAGGCGGCUGGCUGGGCCACUCCUGACGCUGAGGCGCGAAGGCCCGGGGAGCGAACGGG